CUCCACAGACGAUGCUUGACUUUAUGGUGAUCUAGGAAAUGGUGAGAUGAGAGGAAAUAUGGGAAGGAGGUUUGCUGGAGGCUGUUGCCACCAGUGGCAGUGGCGUCUGAGGUUUGCUAGCAGUGAUGGGGUUUUUGGUGGUUGUUGAGUCUCUUAGAGUUUUUGCAACAAUGCAGCGAGUUGCAAUCAAUUUUUUGUUUUUAAUUUGAUUCUCCAGUAUUAAUAUGGUAAUUAUCUGUUUCAUUUUUAUAGUUUACAAUACAACAUUGAGGACUUGCAGAAAUUAUUCGAUAAGAACAUCUUGUCUUCCAGGUAUCCUCAAGCUCAGAAUUGAAGAUGACAAUAGCACACCAAGCAUCCAAGGUGACACAACAUCAAAUGAGCUUGAUAAACGGCAGCGUUCCUAAAGAAACGGCGGCGUCUUCACUCAACAGGUUGUGGUGGCAUCACCAUUGCUCUCAUGACAGAGGGAGCCGCUCCCCUCACCUUCCUACCAGCAAACGGUAUUGCUGAACGGGUCAGUG
rnacentral:lncRNA from 1 species